GCACUGCUGAUGAGACCCAAAUAGGUCAAAACAGUUGUCCAGUAC
rnacentral:hammerhead_ribozyme from 1 species